UAGGGAAUCUUCCGCAAUGGGCGAAAGCCUGACGGAGCAAUGCCGCGUGGAGGUGGAAGGCCUACGGGUCGUCAACUUCUUUUCUCGGAGAAGAAACAAUGACGGUAUCUGAGGAAUAAGCAUCGGCUAACUCUGCGCCAG
rnacentral:rRNA from 1 species